CGCCCAAAUAUAUCCGACCACCACUGUGGGCUCUUACCCCCCUUACUCUCGCCGUCGCUACCACCGAAACUUCCUUCCGCGCAUGGGGUGGAGGAGGGGAUAGAAGACAGGGUGACAACCACUGGGUAAUGCUCUUCUUUUUUCGGUUAUCAUUCUUGAUUUUAUAUCUUUGUUGAUUACAGAUUUGAUCUUAAAUAUUACCCCAACUGAUAAUGUUUUUCCUGGAUUUAUUUGACCGAUAAUGCACGACUAAACAUCCCAUCGGUUAGGGGAAUCACCUGUUUCAAGAAUUGACCAAGUAGGUACAUUUGUAAAAAAAUUAUACUUUUGAAUAUUCGCUUGACAAUAUGCUUUUGAUUCAAGUUUGUUAUCUUAACCAGUUUAAAAAUUGUUAGCUUUUGAUUUAUGUGGAUGCUUGCGAGUUGAUACAAAUCUCCGUGUUACUCUAAAUUUUUUUCUUUCAA